rnacentral:rRNA from 1 species
UACGGGGGGGGCAAGCGUUGUUCGGAAUUACUGGGCGUAAAGGGCUCGUAGGCGGCCAACUAAGUCGGAUGUGAAAUCCCCAGGCUUAACCUGGGAACUGCAUCCGAUACUGGAUGGCUUGAAUCCGGGAGAGGGAUGCGGAAUUCCAGGUGUAGCGGUGAAAUGCGUAGAUAUCUGGAGGAACACCGGUGGCGAAGGCGGCAUCCCUGGACCGGCAUUGGACGCUGAGGAGCGAAAGCCAGGGGGAGCAAACGGGG